rnacentral:rRNA from 2 species
GGACUACCGGGGUUUCUAAUCCUGUUUGAUCCCCACGCUUUCGUGCCUCAGUGUCAAUAUAUGAGUAGCCAGCUGCCUUCGCAAUUGGUGUUCUAUGUCAUAUCUAAGCAUUUCACCGCUACAUGACAUAUUCCGCUGACCUCCACAAUAUUCAAGACUGAUAGUAUCAAUGGCAGUUUCCGGGUUAAGCCCAGAGAUUUCACCACUGACUUACCAACCCACCUACGCACCCUUUAAACCCAGUGAAUCCGGAUAACGCUUGCACCCUCCGUAUUACCGCGGCGGCUGGCAC